GCCUGCAUGAAGUUGGAAUUGCUAGUAAUCGCGGAUCAGCAUGCCGCGGUGAAUACGUUCCCGGGGAUUGUACACACCGCCCGUCACACCAUGAGAGUCGGGAACACCCAAAGUCCGUAGUCUAACCGCAAGGAGGGCGCGGCCUAAGGUGGGUUCGAUAAUUGGGGUGAAGUCGUAACAAGGUAAC
rnacentral:rRNA from 1 species